GAUGAACGCUGGCGGCGUGCUUAACACAUGCAAGUCGAACGAUGAAGCUCAGCUUGCUGGGUGGAUUAGUGGCGAACGGGUGAGUAACACGUGAGUAACCUGCCCUUAACUCUGGGAUAAGCCUGGGAAACUAGGUCUAAUACCGGAUAGGAGCGCCUACCGCAUGGUGGGUGUUGGAGAGAUUUAUCGGUUUUGGAUGGACUCGCGGCCUAUCAGCUUGUUGGUGUGGUAAUGGCUCACCAAGGCGACGACGGGUAGCCGGCCUGGGAGGGUGACCGGCCACACUGGGACUGAGACACGGCCCAGACUCCUACGGGAGGCAGCAGUGGGGAAUAUUGCACAAUGGGCGAAAGCCUGAUGCAGCGACGCCGCGUGAGGGAUGACGGCCUUCGGGUUGUAAACCUCUUUCAGUAGGGAAGAAGCGAAAGUGACGGUACCUGCAGAAGAAGCACCGGCUAACUACGUG
rnacentral:rRNA from 1 species